UGGGGAAUAUUGCGCAAUGGGGGAAACCCUGACGCAGCAACGCCGCGUGAAGGAUGAAGGUUUUCGGAUUGUAAACUUCUUUGACGAGGGACGAAAGAAAUGACGGUACCUCGAAAACAAGCCACGGCUAACUACGUGCCAGCAGCCGCGGUAAUACGUAGGUGGCGAGCGUUGUCCGGAUUUACUGGGUGUAAAGGGCGAGUAGGCGGGAUUGCAAGUCAGAUGUGAAAUCUGUCGGCUUAACUGACAGCGUGCAUUUGAAACUGCGGUUCUUGAGUGAUGGAGAGGCAGGCGGAAUUCCUAGUGUAGCGGUGAAAUGCGUAGAUAUUAGGAGGAACACCAGUGGCGAAGGCGGCCUGCUGGACAUUAACUGACGCUGAGGCGCGAAAGCGUGGGGAGCAAACA
rnacentral:rRNA from 1 species